GUUGUUAUUAGCUGAGAGUUUUGGUUAUGUAUCAUGAGACAAAGCUUGUGACUCACACCAAAUGUACAGUAUGGGAGUGGGCAACCCUACAGAGGCCAGUGUUUGUUGGUGAGUGAAGACAUUUGGUAACACAGUGAAGUAUCAGGAGCUGAAACCUGUCCAUAUUCUCAAGAAUGCAUAGGAGUUGCAAAACAGGUAUCUUUUGACAACUGCUUCUAUGUUUCACUGAUGAAUAGAUGUUUCUGAGUAUGUACUUAAAAAUAUUCAGGUCGGUAAAAAUAAUAUUCUUAAGAAAAACAUAAUUUGACACAAAAAGAGGUAUUUAUGAAUAAUUCAAUUUUAAAUGGUUUAAACAAAUCUAAAGUAAUUCAUGCUUUUUUGCAGUAUAUUCACUGAAAUUAGGCACUGGGAGAACAAGUCAUCCUCUUCUUCAUCUUCACUGACUGUUUUGAUUGAAGUGUGCAUUUUGAACGCGGGUGAAGUGAUUCAGUACAAUAAACUGCAGGCCGACCCAAAGCAGGGGAAAUCCCUGGAUAUUGGUAAAAACUAUAAACUGUACAGCAAUAUUCAUUUAAUGUGUUUGAAUGGAUGCAGAAAUGUGUUCUUCUCUCAUCAAACAGAUUAUACGUGUGUGUUUGUGUGUGUCAGUGCUGAAGGUAAAGCAUUGUCUGGUGGAGAACAUGACUUCAGGAACUGCAGAUGCUCAGCCAUUCUGUAAAAUGGUCAGAUAAUUUCCAUUGUUUAAUUUCCUUUUAAAUCUAGACACAACCAGGUUGUAUAUGCAAGGUGUCAUAUAGGCCAUACUCACUCUUGGGCAUUUAUUGAAGGGUGAAGAAGCACAAAAAUGUCAAUACUGUAGCACCAACUUGUCUAUAAAAAUAUGUUUUUGGCCUGUCCAAUUUUUAAUGUUAUGAGACAACUGUUUUUAUCAGGUCAAAUUUUAAGGACUUUAUGAACCCAAAAGAUCUAGAAUUUUUGUUGUUGUUUUAAAUCACAAAUACAUUUUAAGAAGAAUAUAUAAUUGUACCUAAUCUGUUUAAGUUUAAUUUUAUAAAAUGUUUUCAUUACAUUGUAUUUAUUGUUGAAUAUUUAAUAUACCAUGUAAUAGCUGGUGAAGCUGAAGUAGCAAUACAUUUAAACAAAACCAACCAUUAUUUAAUCAGUAUUUCAUUAAAAUACUAUUUUUGCACAAAUUAAAAACAGGACAACAAAGGACUAAAGUACCAGACUCAUAAAUACAGUAUAAAUAAUAAUCAUUAUUUCACAUUAGUCUGUUUGAAAACUCCAUCAUUGAGAGCAUAGACAGGUUCAUGUGUGUAUAUAAUGUGUGACAUAAAAAAUCAAGCAUUUGUGUGUUUUUAUGUUUCAGAUGGUCUGGUGAAGAGGCUGGAGAAAACAGCUCAACUUUAUAAAGGUGUUUCAUUCAUACUUUUGCUUCAUUUAACCAAUGACCGAGAGAGUUUAACAUGGAAAUAAUCUGUAUAUGUUGUGUGUGCUUUUUAUGAGCUCUCACAGAGGUACAGUAGAUGAUUCCUUGAUCCACGUUCAUCUUGUUCAAAAUAUGUAUGUCUACUGUGGAGGAUGAAACACAACAAUUCACCACCUAGUUGCCAACAAUAGGGCAGUAGGAACUGAUUCAACCCCAGAAAGAAGAUUCAGUAAUCUCUCAAAUGAGACAAUGGAAGGAGGAUAGUGUCACACUCAUGGAUGAGAUCAAGGGAGAUUUGACAGGAACCAACAGAAAGUUGAUGAAUGAAUGGAACAAGCUGCACCUUGAAGGAGGAUUCCAAUACUGAAGAUUGAGGGAGACAGAGCAAGUGCAAAAAGCUUGCACUCAAGUACCUCCGUGACAAGAUGGAACACAUGGGUACAGAGUGAGUACUGGGUCUGACAAGGGAGCAGUUCUACUGGCCAUUCAUGAAAGUUGAAGUGGAAAAGUGUAUGACUGCAAAAGUGCCCAUGCAUAAAACAGAAGAAACUGAUUGUACAUGUUUGUGCACCCAUGGGUAGCAUCACAACACACUCACCUAUGGAGCCAGUAUGCAAUGACUACCUGCACCUGGAGCCAAGCUGUGGAGGAUAUAAAUAUAUCCUGGUGGUCAUGGAUCAUUUCACAAGGUUCGUCCAAGCCUACCCAACCAAGAACAAGUCAGGGUGGACUGCAGCCAAGUGCUUGUUCCAAGAUUACAUACAGAGUUUUGGAUAUUUGGCCAAGAUACAUCACAACCAGGGCCGUACGUUUGAGAACUAACCUUUUCACACUCUCGAGUUAACUGAUAGCAUUGCAUGUCUCUGGGAAGCUCACAUUGUCAAUCACAUUUGGUGCACUUGCUAGUCACAUGACAGGGCACAGAGUGAAGCAUAGGAAGCCAGUGAAUUUGUGUGCAUCCAUUAUAUAUUCACUACUAUGGGAGGGAAAAGAGUUAAUUGUGUUUAAAGGGGUCAUAUGAUGUUGCUAAAAAGAACAUUAUUUUGUGUAUUUGGUGUAAUGCAAUGUGUUUAUGUGGUUUAAGGGUUCAAAAAACACAUUAUUUUUCACAUACUGUAGAUUAUAGUUUCUCCUCUAUGCCCCACCUUUCUGAACCGUGUCGAUUUUUACAAAGCUCAUCGCUCUGAAAAGCGAGGUGUGCUCUGAUUGGCCCGCUAUCCAGUUAGUUGUGAUUGGCUGAAUACCUCAAGCAUGUGACGGAAAUGUCACACCCCUUACCAUAGUGUGAUGCCGUGUCCUGGCACGAGAUAAAACCAAUAAAACCCAUUACAAAUGAGGCA
ensembl:lncRNA